rnacentral:rRNA from 1 species
UACGUAGGCAGCAAGCGUUGUUCGGAAUUACUGGGCGUAAAGAGUGUGUAGGCGGUUCUCUAAGUUCCGUGUGAAAUCUCCCGGCUUAACUGGGAGGGUGCGCGGAAAACUGGAGGGCUGGAGUAUGGGAGAGGAAAGCGGAAUUCCUGGUGUAGCGGUGAAAUGCGUAGAUAUCAGGAGGAACACCUGCGGUGUAGACAGCUUUCUGGACCAUCACUGACGCUGAGACACGAAGGCGUGGGUAGCAAACAGG